GGACGAACGCUGGCGGCGUGCUUAACCAUGCAAGUCGAACGAGAUCCAACCAGUGGCAACACUGGGGAAGAUCUAGUGGCGAACGGGUGAGUAACACGUGAGGAACCUGCCCCGAAGUCUGGGAUAAGCCCUCGAAAGGGGGUCUAAUACCGGAUGUCCUCAUCAGGUCACAUGACCAGAUGAGGAAAGGUCCGCUGCUUCGGGAGGGCCUCGCGGCCUAUCAGCUUGUUGGUGAGGUAGCGGCUCACCAAGGCGACGACGGGUAGCUGGUCUGAGAGGACGAUCAGCCACACUGGGACUGAGACACGGCCCAGACUCCUACGGGAGGCAGCAGUGGGGAAUCUUGCGCAAUGGGCGAAAGCCUGACGCAGCAACGCCGCGUGCGGGAUGACGGCCUUCGGGUCGUAAAGCCCUGUUGAUAGGGACGAAGGGCGAAGGGUUAAUAGCCCCUAGCCUGACGGUACCUUUCGAGGAAGCCCCGGCUAACUACGUGCCAGCAGCCGCGGUAAUACGUAGGGGGCGAGCGUUGUCCGGAAUUAUUGGGCGUAAAGAGCGUGUAGGCGGCUCGGUAAGUCUGCCGUGAAAACCUGAGGCUCAACCUCGGGCGUGCGGUGGAUACUGCCGGGCUAGAGGACGGUAGAGGCGAGUGGAAUUCCCGGUGUAGCGGUGAAAUGCGCAGAUAUCGGGAGGAACACCAGUAGCGAAGGCGGCUCGCUGGGCCGUUCCUGACGCUGAGACGCGAAAGCUAGGGGAGCGAACAGGAUUAGAUACCCUGGUAGUCCUAGCCGUAAACGAUGGACACUAGGUGUGGGGGGAGUCGAAUCCCUCUGUGCCGCAGUUAACGCGUUAAGUGUCCCGCCUGGGGAGUACGGCCGCAAGGCUAAAACUCAAAAGAAUUGACGGGGGCCCGCACAAGCAGCGGAGCAUGUUCUUUAAUUCGAUGCAACGCGAAGAACCUUACCUGGACUUGACAUGGUGCUGCAAGCGCACGGAAACGUGUGACCUUCGAGGGUGCACCACAGAUGCUGCAUGGCUGUCGUCAGCUCGUGUCGUGAGAUGUUGGGUUAAGUCCCGCAACGAGCGCAACCCUUGUCUCAUGUUGCCAGCACGUGAUGGUGGGGACUCGUGAGAGACUGCCGGGGUCAACUCGGAGGAAGGUGGGGAUGACGUCAAGUCAUCAUGCCCCUUAUGUCCAGGGCUUCACACAUGCUACAAUGGCCGGUACAAAGGGCUGCGAUGCCGUGAGGUGGAGCGAAUCCUUUCAAAGCCGGUCUCAGUUCGGAUCGGGGUCUGCAACUCGACCCCGUGAAGUCGGAGUCGCUAGUAAUCGCAGAUCAGCAAUGCUGCGGUGAAUACGUUCCCGG
rnacentral:rRNA from 1 species